rnacentral:lncRNA from 1 species
UUAUGUAAAGUCAUCAAAUACAUAUAGUUAUUUACCUGAGGAGGGAGAAAUCGCUGUAACAUAGAUGAAAUAUGCUCAAGCUGAGACUGCAAAGUUUGUUGGUUCUGUUUCAACUCCGCCAACUCUGCCUGAUGGCGAUCCUUCAUAUCUUCGAUUGUUGCCCGAAGUCUACUAACUUCUGCAUUGCUACUGCCUUCUCCAGCAUUUCUUGUAUACAUGCCCACUGCAGACAACUGAGUGGGGGUAACUCCAACGCCAUAACCCCUCACUCUACCAUAACGCUCUGGGCCCAAUAAUUCAGCGAGCACCUGAGCUUCGACAUGACUG